AACGACGACAGAGAGCGACCCAAAAAAAAAAAAAAAAAAAAAAAAGUCCCCAGCCCUCCCUCCCCUCCGUCGGAGCCUCUGGAGGAGGAGGAAGAGGAGGGAGGGAGGAAGGGGGGGGAUCGAGCGGCGCUGGGGCUGGGGUUUUUUUUUUCGCUGCUGCUCCUUGGGUGGGUUUUCGCAGUGCUUCGCGGCGAAGAGUCGCCCGGAGGCGAUGGAGGAGCCGGAGGAGGAGGAGGGAGGAGGGAGGAAGAAGAGGAGGAGGAGGAAGAGGAGGACAAGUGCUGCAGUGACGUGGGUGCCCGAGUGAUAUAGCACGGAGCGGCCGGGCGAGCCUCCAAUCCCCAGGUCAGCAGGACUUUGAAUUUUAUUGCCACCAAAGACAAGGUUUUUCUGCCUCUCGGAACCCCCCUGUACGUGGACUGGAAGCUGCGGAGCCGCAAAGGAGAGGUGCUUUCAUGAGAGUCCUAUUCACUUGGAUUUUGACCCAAAACGUUCACCUGAGGCCACUCCUCAGCUACGGGGGACGUUCCUACUGUUGUUGCUCCAGUUUUGCCUUCUUGGUCUGCUAUUGCACCCGUCACCGUCUGUCCUACGAUCCAAGCCUCCCAAGACUCUGGCCCUGCCCAGGACCUGAAGGACCCUCCAUGCAGCGCAUGUUGGACAGGAAGAAGCUCUCCUCGUCCAACACGUCCCCUGUGUCACCAGGAGCACGUGCCCUCCCGGUCCGCGUGCCCAGAGCGCCGUUGGCGUGCACAUCUCGGGGACGCGGCGCCGAGGGUGAUCUACAGCAACCACGUCCUCCUGCUCAGACAAAGGCUUUGUCUCCAUAACGCGAGGACACGCGCUUUCGGAGCGACACAAGCAUUUGCAUUCAGAAACGUGGCCAGGCGAAGCCGGCGGCUUGUCUGAAGGUGGCUGGAUGUGGGACCUACCCAGAAGGCAGCAAUGGGGAAUCUCUGCUCCUGUAAAUAACCCCAGUCCUGCAGCCGCCACCUCCUUCUCCCUCCUUUCACAAGAGCAGCCUUCCGUGCCAUUAGCUUGAGGAAAUCUGCUAAAAUUAUAAUCUGUUAAGAAAGUAGAAAAAUAUGUACGCUUGCCUUAUUAGAGACAUUUUAAAAAAUACCUAGGAUGGUAAAAAUUGAAAAUUUUCAGCCGUGCCUUAUUUAAACAUACCUGGUUGGGUUACUGAGACACACACCUGCCAUUUAAAAUCUAUUUCUUCUCUUUAAUAUUCAACUAAUAUUUAUUUUAAAUUUAAUUUUUAAAUUACGUCCCCAUUUGCAUUAGAAGCCAUGACUGGAGGAGCCCUCUCGCCCUUCCCAGCGACAGGAGGGCAGUGACCGGCGCGAAGCUUCGCCAGGAGCUGGGGCGCGUUUCGGCCGUCUCCAUCACCCGCAGCAGCGAUGACGGCAGCGAGCGCACCCCGCUCCCCCUUCCCCGGCGCCCCCAGGGACGGGCACGUGCCCCCUGCGGCCGCCUGGGUUGCAACGGCCGUCCCAUGGAAGGAGCAGGGGGAGGGUGCUCCUGCACCCAGGCUCGCGGCCGGGCUUUGGCAGCAAGUGAGCAGGUGUGCACGUAAGCGCAGCCGGAGCCGAGGGGCGAUGAACCGCGUGCCCUAAGGGGCUCUCCUGUGAGACAGAAGCAGUCGUUGCCCUGAAGAAGAGAGGCCUUUCAAUAACAAGAAGCAAAAGGAGCCCCUGCGCCUGCAGAUCUUGUUAGAGACAAAAGGCAACUGGCCUGCCAGGAAGGGAGACGGCCCGGCGUGCUUGUACAGUGCCACCGCAGUUACCAUCGGGAUUUAUUGAGGCCUUCCCCCGAUAAGAUGUGAAAAUUACGGCGGAACCGACGCACGGAGGUACUCGAGGAAGAGGAGGGAGCGAUUGGUUCUGAGGCGGGGGAAGGGAAGGGUGAAGGUGGGGCAGGGGAGCUGCCAUCGCCCCUGCGCCACGUGCUGCCUGCAGCGUUCCCUCUUGCUGGCUUUAUUCCGGGUUUGUUCCUUUAGGAUCCCUGGAAGAAGCUCUUUCUAAGGUCAAGGGGCUCUGCCGGGCUGGGAGCAUCCCCAGGAGCUUUCACUCAAACAAGCAGAACAGACAACUGGAGGAGGAGGAGGAGGAGGAUUCACAUUUCUGAAGUGGGGAAGUGCACUGGAGAGAGGUCGAGCACGCCCAGCAAAGCCCUCCUGGCAGUGCCGUGGCAGAGCUGAAAUGAGCCCGGCUCCCCAGCACGGCCUGAUCCCAAGGUCCCGCUCAGCACCGGUUCAGCGCGCCAGGGUCCCGCUCCUGAGGCUGCCUCCAGAGUUCCCGUAAUUUCUGUGGGACGCAUCAGGAAACAAUAUCCUUUGCUCAUUCAAGGAUUCACACGGGAACCAUUGAAAUAAGUGACACCCCGUGGUGGGGCGAGCUUUUCCCCCCACCCGUGGAGUUACCUACGCACUAAAACAGGCCGUUGUCAGCUGCGGCACCGCUGGGGAAUUACCACAAUUACACCGUAUAAUAUUGACUUAACUAUUUGAAGAACUCUACAGCCCAGUCUCUCCUAAUUAGAUCCAACAUUUAAUGGGGCUUCUUAAUUCAUGAAACUAUUUUCCAAGGCUUUAACAAGUCUCACAAAGGAAGAGCCAGGAGUAUGCAAAAUUUUUUGUCAUUUUAAUAUCUGAUCAAGAGCCCGAGGAUAGCUACCGUUGUAAUACUGGAAUGAUAUCCCGCAGUCCCAGGUUCUCGGGAAUGCCAUUGCAGACAAACUCACUUCAUCCACAAGCGUACCUGAGGAUCGGCCUGUCGGGACACGGCCAGCGUGGCUAUUUCUGGCAUAUUCAAUCCUCCAGGUGCUAUUUUAACGUUCCUCCCCACUCUGUAAUUAUUCAACAUGCCAGUGAAGGUAACGAGUCGCUGGAAUCAGUGGUUGGCACCACAGGGUAAAAUAAAACCCUGGAAGUGCCUGAAGAAUGUGACAGGGGGAAAUAAAGUCCCAUUAUCGUCCCACUCGGGGAUGGAGGCGGUCCCCCCGGCUCACCGGCUUCGGCGGGAUGCUUGGUGAGUGUCAGCCCCGGUACCGAUGGGGACAACAAGCUCCUGAGAAGCAACUGGGAAACCCGAGUGCAUUUGCAAACAGCCCCUGGGUGCAACAACAGUCCAACGUAGGGACCUUGCUGGUGCACAGCACCCAGCACGGUGUGAUGGGCGCCGGUGGGACCGGGG